rnacentral:piRNA from 1 species
UUCAGUUGAAAAUUCAGUUGA